rnacentral:rRNA from 1 species
GUUCCAGACUCCUACGGGAGGCAGCAGUGGGGAAUAUUGCACAAUGGGGGAAACCCUGAUGCAGCGACGCCGCGUGAGCGAUGAAGUAUUUCGGUAUGUAAAGCUCUAUCAGCAGGGAAGAAGAUGACGGUACCUGACUAAGAAGCCCCGGCUAACUACGUGCCAGCAGCCGCGGUAAUACGUAGGGGGCAAGCGUUAUCCGGAUUUACUGGGUGUAAAGGGAACGUAGACGGCAGUGCAAGUCCGGAGUGAAAGCCCGGGGCUCAACCCUGGGACUGCUCUGGAAACUGUAAAGCUGGAGUGCGGGAGGGGCAGGCGGAAUUCCUGGUGUAGCGGCGAAAUGCGUAGAUAUCAGGAGGAACACCGGCGGCGAAGGCGGCCUGCUGGACCGUAACUGACGUUGAGGCUCGAAAGCGUGGGGAGCAAACAGGAUUAGAUACCCGGGUAG